CAGUCGCCGCGGGAAAACGAGGGGGGCAAGCGUUGUUCGGAAUUAUUGGGCGUAAAGGGUGCGUAGGCGGUUUGAUAAGUCAUCUGUGAAAUCUCUGGGCUCAACCUGGGAAUUGCAGUGGAUACUGGGUCACUAGAGUGUGGUAGAGGAUAGUGGAAUUUCCGGUGUAGCAGUGAAAUGCGUAGAGAUCGGAAGGAACAUCUGUGGCGAAGGCGACUAUCUGGGCCAACACUGACACUGAGGCACGAAAGCGUGGGGAGCAAACAGGAUUAGAUACCCCAGUAGUCCCUGUCUCUUAUAA
rnacentral:rRNA from 1 species